rnacentral:rRNA from 1 species
CCUACGGGAGGCAGCAGUGAGGAAUAUUGGUCAAUGGGCGAGAGCCUGAACCAGCCAAGUCGCGUGAGGGAGUACUGCCCUAUGGGUUGUAAACCUCUUUUGUCGGGGAGCAAAAGCCGGACGUGUCCGGCUGUGAGAGUACCCGAAGAAAAAGCAUCGGCUAACUCCGUGCCAGCAGCCGCGGUAAUACGGAGGAUGCGAGCGUUAGCCGGAUUUAGUGGGUUUAAAGGGUGCGCAGGCGGAUUUUUAAGUCAGCGGGCAAAUCGUGGGGCUCAACCCCAUCCAGCCGUUGAAACUGGGGAUCUAGCGUGUGCGAGAGGUAUGCGGAAUGCGUGGUGUAGCGGUGAAAUGCAUCGAUAUCACGCAGAACCCCGAUUGCGAAGGCAGCAUACCGGUGCACACCUGACGCUCAGGCACGAACGCGUGUGUAUCGAACAGGAUUAGAUACCCCGGUAGUC